CUUUGAUAGCUAUCUUUUAUUUAAUACUAAAAUUGAGAAUGAAAUGGGGAAUGUGUCAAAGAGACAACAACCGAAGGCCACCAAUGGGUCUUCAAUGCUGCGAGAAACUUCCUCAUCCUGAGGCAUCUUUCAGCUGGCCCCCAAACAAAUAUGUAUACUAGUUCACUAAUAAUUGACGUCAUACUAAACUCCAAAUUAUACACAAGAAGCUAAAAUUGAAAAUCAUACAACACUAACAAAGGUCAGAGGCUCCUGACUUGGGACAUGCGCAAAAAUGCGGCGGGGUUAAACAUUUUUUUUAGAGAUCUCAACC
rnacentral:lncRNA from 1 species